GGGGACGUAGCUCAGUUGGUAGAGUGCUUGCCUUGUAUGCAUAAGGCCCUGGGUUCAAUCCCCAGCCCA
rnacentral:tRNA from 1 species